GCGGGAACUGCACGGACGCGCGCAUCUCCCUCAGCAGUCGCUGCAGCCAAGACCGCUCGGUCGGAAUUUAAACAGGGAGCAGCUACUCGGCGCCCACAUCAGGAAGUCCAGCCUCCUCCUGAUGCACAUAAGAUGGAACUCACUAAGUAGUUUUGCCUACUACCUCUCCACCCUUGAGGACAUCUUCUAGAGGCGGUGCCUCAAGAAGGCGGCAUCCAUCAUUGAGGACCCUCACCAUGUGGGACUUGCCCUCUUCUCGUUACUACCAUCAGAGAGGAAGCACAGGAGCCUGAAGACCCACACUCUACGAUUCAGGAGCAGCUUCUUCCUCUGAACCGUCCAUAAACCCAUGAACACUACCUUCUUAUUUCCUCUUUUGCACUAUUUGUUUUUGUAGCUAAUAGUAAUUUUUAUGUCUUGCACUGUACUGCUGCCACAAAAGUAACAAAUUUCAUGACAUAUGUCAGUGAUAAUAAACCUGAUUCUGAUUCUGUCUACCAUGGA